GGUGAUUAAGAAAGCAUAAGAGAUGGCUGGUGGCAAGGCAUUCCUCAUCAUUUGCGUCGUAUUAUUCAUUCUGCCUGAAAGAGCAUUGCAGGCCAGACCGAUUCCGCCACCAGAGGGCGUAUCAGUGAGCCGAAAUCCUUCAAGACCUAGUCCAGGAUGCUUCCUCCCCACAUCGACGGCCCAAGCGAGACCUCCAUCUUUUUGCCACCAAGGGCCUUCGUGACAUCCCUGAUCAAUUUGGUUCAUUUGGUAUCCAUAUAUAUGAAGCACUUCCUAAAUUUCCGUUCUGAUGUUACAUAUAGCUUAUGGUCAUCUCAAUACUUGCAGGUGUUGAGAUUAAGAUGUGUGUGCGUGUUUUCUUUUAUUUUUGUUUUACUAAAAUAAGGACUUCGCAAUUUUUUUAGGAACUA